rnacentral:rRNA from 1 species
GGUUAAGCGAAUAAGCGUACACGGUGGAUGCCUAGGCAGUCAGAGGCGAUGAAGGACGUGCUAAUCUGCGAUAAGCGCCGGUAAGGUGAUAUGAACCGUUAUAACCGGCGAUUUCCGAAUGGGGAAACCCAGUGUGAUCCGUCACACUAUCAUUACCUGAAUACAUAGGGUAAUGAAGCGAACCGGGAGAACUGAAACAUCUAAGUACCCCGAGGAAAAGAAA